rnacentral:lncRNA from 1 species
CCAAGGGAGCCAGACUUGUCAGGAGGAGUUCAAAGGGAGCAAAAAAGAUGAACUCCUCAAAGGAAGAAUUUUUCUUUGCAUUUCUUCUUAAGGUGGGAGUGUAAAAUGGGAGUGGGUAUGUUAUACUUUUAUAGCUCAGUAAUUUUUUUUUUUUUUUAAGAUGAGGCUACCAGGAGAGAACAGAGAAGAAAAGACACUCUGAAAAAGGAAAAGAUGAGAGUUCUUAUGGAAAAAUGUGCCUUGGGAAAAAUUACAAUACUACAGCAAGGAGGUAGGGAAGAAAAACAUCUCUCUCCUAUAUUUUUAUCCAGGUAACAUCUGGUUUCAGUGAACUGGAGGAAAACACAAGGAGACAGUGGCAGGGGAAGAGCAGCCUACCGUGGCUCUCCAUGAGACAAGCUCAGAGUGUGAGAUGCACAGUUUUUCCAGAGUUCCAACACCUGGAGCAGAAUUAUCACUGUCCAGAUGAUGACCAAAACAAGAAUAAUCCAGCACUGUAAAGGAAAUUUUCAAGGGACAGGGUCUUGCUGUAUCACCCAAGGUGGAGUGCAUUGGCAUAAUCAUGGCUCACUGCAGACUUGAACUCCUGGGCGCAAGCAAUCCUCUCAUCUCAGCCUCCCAAAGUGCUGGAAUUACAGAUGUGCACCACUGCGCCAGCUUAUUUCUGGAUUAAGUUUUGGCAGAUAAGAGUGUUGGCCUUUAGAGGCUCCUGAACUACAAUGGCAACGAUUGAAGAAACUGUUGUUGAAAAGUCCACGCCAAAUUCUCGGUAUGUCACUGAAGACAAGGACAUUUUGGGUAGAACCAGGCUGCUAAUCCACUCUUGCCAGGAGGGAAGAUUUUUUCUCUUUCUGUAGUGAGCAACAACGCCACUCGAUGAAGAAACUGAGGUUCAUGGAAGUUAAAUAACUUGCCCACAGGGCACAACUAGUAGGCAGCUAAGCUAGGACUUCAACUGAGGUCUGUAAGACUUAAAGCACAUGCUAUUCCUGCUCCUCAAUAGCUUUCCUGCUAAGCACCAAGAGACGCUAGGCUGCCAGGAACAUCACAGCAGAGACCACCGUCAAUCAAUGCAUCUCCACCGUCUUUUAGACAUUCUUUUGAAGAAAGAUUUAGCUGCUAAAAGAAAAGAUGAAUAUACAAAAAGGAUAAUACUACCAUAUUUCAUCAUAUUGUCUCGUUUUAAUACAAGAAGACUCAUCCAGCUUAAACAUUUGAUGUUUAAGAAGCUAACCAGCAAGCUGCCCUCUGGGAAUGCAUACCAUCAGGUAUGGAUCAGUGGCCCUGAGAUCAUGUUCAUAACUCAGCAGCUUUGUACAAGCUGUCAAGACUCAGAACAUGGUACCCCAAAGUAUGGCACCUUGGUGUGCUGAGUACUGUGGACUGAAGGACAUCGGAAAUGUCUCAGAAGCUAUGUCUCUUUGACCUUCUCCCAGCCUCCUGUCUCCUACCUGUCUUUCUCCCUUGAAGUGAGUCAUGGCAACCAUAAUUCCUCUUUCCCAAGGUGUGUCACAGAAACUAGAACCCCUCUCCUCCAAGGGAAGCCGUGAAACCUAGAAAGGUCACUCUCUGCCUUCCCCCUUCUCCCUUGAAGACCCUCAUUCCAGAGGGGCCCUGCCCCAUAUUCAGGAGGGUUACACAAAGAGGUUAAGAAGAAUUUGAACAUUCAGGCCUUGCUGGGUUCCCUGCUCAGUCUAUCAGCAUUAGAUCACACCCUUUAGUCCAUCACAUUUCUACACCGCUGUCCAUUCUUCAUCAAACCGAAGAAUAAAAAAAGUUUUCCCUGGGUCUUUGGAUCUUCAUUUCUGAGGAGUCCCAUGUUACAUAAAACUUUGAUUACCUUCAUUAUGCUUUUCUCUUGUUAACCUGUCUUUUGUUAUAGGAGUGACCGUUAUGAUAGGUGAGGAAAGAUAUCACACAUUUCUGCCCCUACAAAGCCAAAAAUGUUGGCCGAGGAAUGCUGCUAAGCUCAAGGCCGUAGCUACUCACAAGCUUUUCUCUCCACUACCAAGACCUGUAGAUACAAUGUGAAUAAUUUUAACCUUGAUAUAGAAGGGAGCCAAUGCAGAAAAUAACUUCUCAGUUAUCCACAAAAGCUAGUAAAAGAGCUAACAUUCAUGUAUUUUUUUUCCCAACAAAUAUUUAUUCAACAUCUACUAAAUGACAGGUACAGUUCUAGGAACAGGGGUCCAGUAAUGAACACAAUUCCAAAAGUCCAUGGCUUCAUGACAAUUAUAUUCUUGUGUUGGGAGACAGACAAUAAACAAAUAUAUUGUGUAUAAAAUGUUGAUGAUGGUAUCAUGUCUUAGGUGAUGACAUAUUAACUGCCUUCUGUAAGCAAUCUUUUAUAAACUCUUUGCUGACUUGGAGGCACUGAAAGUUUUACAAAAACAUUGGCUUAUUUAUCAAAGAGGAAGUAUAGUAAAAUUUGCACUCAUUACAGGUUGAGUACCCCUUAUCCAAAAUGCCUGGGACCCAGAAGUGUUUCGAAUUUC